rnacentral:rRNA from 1 species
UACAAACAAUCGUUACAACUUUCAACAAUGGAUCUCUUGGCUCUGGCAUCGAUGAAGAACGCAGCGAAAUGCGAUAAGUAGUGUGAAUUGCAGAAUUCAGUGAAUCAUCGAAUCUUUGAACGCACAUUGCGCCCCUUGGUAUUCCAUGGGGCAUGCCUGUUCGAGCGUCAU